UACGUAGGGUGCAAGCGUUGUCCGGAAUUAUUGGGCGUAAAGAGCUCGUAGGCGGUUUGUCGCGUCUGCUGUGAAAACGCGAGGCUCAACCUCGCGCCUGCAGUGGAUACGGGCAGACUAGAGGUAGGUAGGGGAGAAUGGAAUUCCGGGUGGAGUGGUGAAAUGCGUAGAGAUCCGGAGGAACACCAAAGGCGAAGGCAGUGUCCUGGGGAGUACCUGACGCUCAGGUGCGAAAGCCAGGGGAGCGAACGGG
rnacentral:rRNA from 1 species